rnacentral:ncRNA from 1 species
CAACCUCAACUCAUAUGGGACUACCCCCUGAAUUUAAGCAUAUUAAUUAGGGGAGGAAAAGAAACUAACAAGGAUUUUCUUAGUAGCGGCGAGCGAAAAGAAAUCAGUUCAGCACUAAGUCACUUUGUCUAUAUGGCAAAUGUGAGAUGCAGUGUACGGAACAUCAACAUUCUAGUAUGAGAAGUUAACGAUUUAAGUCCUUCUUAAAUGAGGCCAUUUACCCAUAGAGGGUGCCAGGCCCGUAUAACGUUAAUGAUUACUAGAUGGUGUUUCCAAAGAGUCGUGUUGCUUGAUAGUGCAGCACUAAGUGGGUGGUAAACUCCAUCUAAAACUAAAUAUAACCAUGAGACCGAUAGUAAACAAGUACCGUGAGGGAAA